rnacentral:rRNA from 1 species
GAUGAACGCUGGCGGCGUGCUUAACACAUGCAAGUCGAACGGAAAGGCUCCUGCUUACAGGGGUACUCGAGUGGCGAACGGGUGAGUAACACGUGGGUGAUCUGCCCUGCACUUCGGGAUAAGCCUGGGAAACUGGGUCUAAUACCGGAUAGGACGAUGGUUUGGAUGCCAUUGUGGAAAGUUUUUCGGUGUGGGAUGAGCUCGCGGCCUAUCAGCUUGUUGGUGGGGUAAUGGCCUACCAAGGCGUCGACGGGUAGCCGGCCUGAGAGGGUGCACGGCCACAUUGGGACUGAGAUACGGCCCAGACUCCUACGGGAGGCAGCAGUGGGGAAUAUUGCACAAUGGGCGCAAGCCUGAUGCAGCGACGCCGCGUGGGGGAUGACGGCCUUCGGGUUGUAAACUCCUUUCGUCAGGGACGAAGCGAAAGUGACGGUACCUGGAUAAGAAGCACCGGCUAACUACGUG